rnacentral:tRNA from 1 species
GAGUGAGAAGCGAAAAUUCGCUUUCAGUUUCGACCUGAACCUUGGUUAAAGCCCUCUCUUU